CACACUGGGACUGAGACACGGCCCAGACUCCUACGGGAGGCAGCAGUUAGGAAUCUUGCGCAAUGGGCGAAAGCCUGACGCAGCAACGCCACGUGCGGGAUGACGGCCCUCGGGUUGUAAACCGCUUUCAGUAGGGACGAAACCAGACGGUACCUACAGAAGAAGCCCCGGCUAACUACGUGCCAGCCGCCGCAGUAAUAC
rnacentral:rRNA from 1 species